UUGACCUCGGAUCAGGUAGGAAUACCCGCUGAACUUAAGCAUAUCAAUAGG
rnacentral:rRNA from 1 species